rnacentral:rRNA from 1 species
CGAAAACCUUACCUACCCUUGACAUGUCCGGAAUCCGAAGAGAUUUGGGAGUGCUCGCAAGAGAACCGGAACACAGGUGCUGCAUGGCUGUCGUCAGCUCGUGUCGUGAGAUGUUGGGUUAAGUCCCGCAACGAGCGCAACCCUUGUCAUUAGUUGCCAUCAUUUGGUUGGGCACUCUAAUGAGACUGCCGGUGACAAACCGGAGGAAGGUGGGGAUGACGUCAAGUCCUCAUGGCCCUUAUGGGUAGGGCUUCACACGUCAUACAAUGGUCGGUACAGAGGGUUGCCAACCCGCGAGGGGGAGCUAAUCCCACAAAAGCCGAUCGUAGUCCGGAUCGCAGUCUGCAACUCGACUGCGUGAAGUCGGAAUCGCUAGUAAUCGUGGAUCAGAAUGUCACGGUGAAUACGUUCCCGGGUCUU